ensembl:lncRNA LINC01844 long intergenic non-protein coding RNA 1844
AGAGUCUAGCCCUGCAGGACCCAGUGUGGCAGCUGCGUGUCUCUGGAGCACUGGAGAGGGGGCUACUGCAAAUUAAGAUCUGCUGUAAAGCUAUGAAAAGAAAACAUUUGGAAGAUCACUGAUUCCUUCAUGGAGAGGCUGGCUUGGGAAUAGAUGACGUGUCAAAGAUUGACAUCAACCUUGAGUGCUUAUUUGUGGACUUGAGAUACAGAUAAAAAAAAAAAAAAAAAAACCUCCCUAGAGUGAGGGCUACUUGGGAUACAUGCUAUAUCCCAAGGAGUUCUCAGUUUGAGGUCAGCCCCAGCUCUACAACUCACCAGGAGAGUGCGCGAGGAUGAGGGAGAGACAGCCUGCUCUGGUUCUCUUCAAGGUGACAAUGACACCUGUUGACAGAUGAGAAUUCCAGCCAGGAAUACAGAUUUAGGAAUCAUGUUUCUCACUCUCAUGAUGACAUAGAAGAGAUGCGUCUGAAUCUUUCUGCCAGUGUGUUAAAGUUAUUCUGAUAUUGACUGUAGUUCUGAGCUUUGUCUCUAUCCCACCAAACCACUAACUUCUGGAAAUUACUUGUAGACCAAGAUGGGAGGACUCCGUGUGUGGCUCCCUCUCUUCAUGUGACAAAGAAACUUCCUAAAAUACUAAAAGCUAAAGGAGAUUGUUAUCUAAGCUUGAGAUGGAAGGUUGCCAGCGGAAACUUGGAGGAUCACAGCCAGUCGCCUGGGAUUGACCACAGGGAGUGGCAGAGGCAGAAAGCAAAAGACCAGUUGCAAUUAUCCAGGUAAAAGAUGGAGGCUGUUGCAAUAAUCCAGAAUCCUGAAUUGAGCCUGUGUUCCCAGUUCCUAGAAACCCUCAAGGUUAUUGGUUUCCUCCUCGCUUAAUAGACCAGUGGAAGAAAUCUACCUCCAGUUCUAUCUUCACAUGAGCAACUGUUUACAGUUUACAAUAUUACUCUGAAAAUCAGUUCUUUUCAAGUUUUAUCUAACACCCACCAGAAGAAACAGAAGAUUAUGAAAAUGGAAUUUGUCAAAGUUCCUCUCCCAACAAUAUGAUAUUUAAUUUUGCUAACAUUUUUUUUUGAACACUUACUAUAUUGCAGACAAUGGUCUAAGUAAAGCAUUUUAUGUGCAUCCUAUCAUGUCAUCAUCACACAGCCCUGUGAGGUAGAUACUAUUAUUAUUAACCACAUUUCACAUUCAAAAAAACUGAGGCUUAGAGAGACUAAGUAAAUUGUCCAAGGUCACACAGCCAUGAAGUGGCAGAGCUGUGGUUAAAACCUAUGUCUGUCUGAUGUUUAAGAUUUUGCUGUUAGCAUUACUUUGAAAUGACAAUAUGAGGGCAUUUUAUGUAUUUUUUUUGCCCCAAUAUGAUCUGCAGAAACUAUGUAUUUUAAGUACUACAUUUCUUUUAUUUACCAAAUUAUUGUCAGAUAAGAAACCGAAAUAAAAGUUUACAGGGUCUAGGAUUCCUCCAUAAUGAAUGAACUUUGGGGUAUUUCAGUGACAAAUUGGCUUUAACGCGAUCAAAUUCCAUCCUACAAUGAAAGUGUGUUAGUUUGUGGUUUCAAGUUUAAAAACAGCACUGUAUUGUCUUCCAGAAAUAUAUAAAUAGAAAUUCAAGAAGUAUUUCAAUGAAUACAGAUAAAAUUAGUUUUGUUAGAACAUCAAAUAUGUGGGUUUCAUUUCUUAGCUCAGUUUAGAAACUGUAAUUUCAAUUUUUUUUAGCAGCUGUGGUAAAUUUUGAGAUUUGAAAUUUCAUAUAAUAUAAAUCCUCAUUUAUUGAGCAUUUAAAUUAUAUGCCCAACAAUUUACUGUGUACAUUACUUCACUUGUUCUUAACUAUAACUCUACAAAAUAUUAUUGUCCUUGAUUUAUAGAUGAAGAUAUUGAGACUCAGUUAAGUAACUUGCUUGAAAUUCAAAAACGUUAACUGUGGAAGGCAGUAUUUGAACCCAGUGUUCAAAACCCCAUGCUCUUUUUAUUAUAUGACCUUAUUUCCUAUUCAGUCUUCAGAAGAUAUAUUGUCUUAUUAGAUUAUUCUCGUUCUCUAAAUAAGUGACCUUGGGCAACUAUCUUUUUCCCUGGUAUUUUCCCCUGCCUUUAAAACAAUGUGAUCAAACUGGAAGUUUUUCACGAUCUCUCUUAGCCCUAAAGCUCCUUGGUUCUGUAAUUCCACCAAUAGCCCAUUUCAAAAAUAAUUCUACAGUAAUCAGUGGGACUCCUGUUUUUCCCAUCUUUUUUUUUUUUGAAACAGAAAAUUGAAACUUUUAAAUUAGUUUAGUAAAUACAUCUACUAGUUUUUUUCUUUUAUAGUCAUGGUUAUAUUAUUUGGUCCUUCUUAGUUGCAACAUGUUUCCUUGCUGUCAAUUUAUAAUACCUCUCAUCAACAAUAGCCUGAAGAAAUAGAUUUGAAUUGCUUUCCCUAAUUUAUAGCUGGAAAACUAGGCUACGCUGGUAUCUUAAAUUGACUUUCCUGAGGUCACGGGCACUCAGUGCCAAGAGGAGUUGGUACCUACGCAUUUGAAAUUUCUGGAUUUCUGGUCUUACUCUGUACUUAGUCACUCUUUUCUUUCAUUUGGCCCUAUGGUGGGCAAACUACAGCCUACAGGCCAAUUCCAGCCUACCAUCUGUUUUUGUAUGGUCCAUGAACUAAGAAUGGUUAUCACAUUUUAAAAUGGUGGGAAAAAAAGACUAUUUUGUGACAUAAAAAUUAUAUGAAAUCCAAA